rnacentral:tRNA from 1 species
GGGGAUAUAGUUCAGUUGUUGUAGAGUGUUUGCCUAACAUGCAGAAGGCCCUGGGUUCAAUCCCCAGCACCA